UGGCGGCAUGGAUUAGGCAUGCAAGUCGAACGCUCAUCUUCGGAUGGGAGUGGCGGAAGGGUGAGGAACACGUGAAUAAUCUGCCCCCAAGUUGGGAAUAACUUGCCGAAAGGUAAGCUAAUACCGAAUGUGGUUGUUUUUCCGCAUGGAAAAACAACUAAAGAUUUAUUGCUUGGGGAUGAGUUCGCGUCCCAUUAGCUAGUUGGUAGGGUAAUGGCUCUACCAGAGGCCCGAAGAUGGGUAGCUGNUCUGAGGAGGAUGAUCAACCACACUGGGACUGAGAACACUGGGCCCAGUCUCCUACGGGAGGCUGCAGUCGAGAAUCUUUUGCAAUGCGCGAAAGCGUGACAAANCAAUGCCGCGUNCCGGAUGAAGGUCUUCGGAUUGUAANCGNCUGUCACCCGUGNCGAAAAAUGACGGUAACGGGAGAGGAAGCCACGGCUAACUACGU
rnacentral:rRNA from 1 species